AUACGUAGGUGGCAAGCGUUGUCCGGAAUUAUUGGGCGUAAAGCGCGCGCAGGCGGUCCUUUAAGUCUGAUGUGAAAGCCCACGGCUCCACCGUGGAGGGUCAUUGGAAACUGGGGGACUUGAGUGCAGAAGAGGAAAGUGGAAUUCCAAGUGUAGCGGUGAAAUGCGUAGAGAUUUGGAGGAACACCAGUGGCGAAGGCGACUUUCUGGUCUGUAACUGACGCUGAGGCGCGAAAGCGUGGAGAGCAAACAGGAUUAGAUACCCUGGUAGUCCACGCCGUAAACGAUGAGUGCUAAGUGUUAGGGGGUUUCCGCCCCUUAGUGCUGCAGCUAACGCAUUAAGCACUCCGCCUGGGGAGUACGGUCGCAAGACUGAAACUCAAAUGAAUUGACGGGG
rnacentral:rRNA from 1 species